rnacentral:misc_RNA from 1 species
GAUGAAGAACGUAGCGAAAUGCGAUAAGUAAUGUGAAUUGCAGAAUUCAGUGAAUCAUCGAAUCUUUGAACGCACAUUGCGCCCCUUGGUAUUCCGAGGGGCAUGCCUGUUCGAGCGUCAUUAUCACCCCUCAAGCUUUGCUUGGUGUUGGGGCCUGCUGUAAUAGGCAGCCCUUAAAAUCAGUGGCGGUGCUUCAAGGCUCUAAGCGUAGUAAUUCUCCUCGCUAUAGAGUCUAGUGGUUGCCAGCCAGAACCCCCCAAUUUUCAUGAUUGACCUCGGAUCAGGUAGGGAUACCCGCUGAACUUAAGCAUAUCAAUAAGCGGAGGA